AUGGGGGAAGGGGAGAGUUAUAGUGACAGGGUAGCUGGCAAAACACGGCUCAAGUCAGGAUGCCUCCAGCGGGUGCAUGUAGCUGGGAAAGUGUGUACAGGACAUGACUAUGGAGGAUCCUCUUGUAUCCCUCUUGGGAAACCUGCAUGCUUGAUCACCUCCCUGAAAUGCCUGUACACCAAUGCACGCAGCAUGGGGAAUAAACAGGAAGAACUAGAGAUGUGUGUGUGGUCGCAGGGCCAUGAUCUCAUUGCCAUUACAGAGACAUGGUGGGAUAGCUCGCAUGRCYGGARUGCUGUCAUGGAUGGCUACGUGCUUUUUAGGAAAGACAGGCCAGGAAAGCGAGGUGGCGGAGUUGCUCUUUAUGUGAGAGAGCAACUGGAAUGUAUCGAGCUGUGCCUAGGGGUGGAUGAAGAGCGAGUCGAGAGCUUAUGGGUAAGGAUUAAAGGGCAGGCUAGCAUGGGUGACACUGUUGUGGGUGUUGACUACAGGCCAGCUGAUCAGGAAGUCAAUGAAGCCUUCUACAAACAGCUGGAAGUAACCUCACGAUCACCGGCCCCGGUUCUCAUGGGGGACUUCAACCACCCUGAUAUCUCCUGGAGAGACAACACAGCUAGGCACAAACAGUCCUGGAGGUUCCUGCAGAGCAUUGGUGACAACUUCUUGACACAGGUGGUGGAGGAGCCAMCAAGGAGAGGUGUGCUGCUGGACUUUGUACUAACAAACAAAGAAGGACUGGUUGAAGAUGUGAAGGUCAGGGGCAUCCCUAGCUGCAGUGACCAUGAGAUCAUGGAGUUCAGGAUCCUGCGAGGAGGCAGCAGGGCACCAAGUAGGAUUGCAACCCUAGACUUGAGGAGAGCAAACUUUGGCCUCUUCAGGGACCUACUUGGAGGAAUCCCAUGGGUUAGGGCCCUAGAAGGAAGGGGUGUUCAAGAGAGCUGGUUAAUAUUCAAACAUCACUUCCUCCAAGCUCAAGAGCGGUGCAUCCCUAUGAGUAGGAAGUCAAACAAAGGAGGCAGGAGACCUGCAUGGAUGAGCAAGGAGCUCCUGGCAAAACUCAAC
rnacentral:lncRNA from 1 species